GCACCUCCAGCCUUGCCAAGACGCUGUGGUACUGGGCUGGCCGCUGUGCCUUGCGGGAGAAGCAGGGAAGGAAAACCACGCCUUUCCCGAGCCUGGAGGGUGCUGACAGCCUCAGGGUUCCGCGCGAGGGGUGAUGGGAAGUAGCCCCCCCAAGAGGGCUUUGAGGGCUGGGGACCCCCCCCCGAAUACCGGGUCGGGUCCUGCUUUCUCACCAGGACUGUGCCAUGACCCAGAUGGAGGCGGCCUUUGUCUGGGGUCUCGCUCUCCUAGAACCCCCACGGUCAUAGAGAAGGCCAAGCAGCAGCCUGGCUCGCCUUCUCGGAUUCUUGGAAUAAGCUGUAAUCUCCAUUCUGCAUUGCCCUUCUUACCUGCUUCUCCCAGCCCCUAACGCAAAUGCUUCCAAGCACGGCACAAAAACGUUAGCCUGGGGAACCGAGGGCCUCUCAGGAGCUAGACUGUAAGCCUUUGCUGGCUGUCGCCAAUGUGCGGUGUCUCAGCCGGCCUUCAGGAACCAAAGCUGGGAGUGUGUUCAGUCAGCACCUGCCUUUCUGAGCCGGGCAUCCUGGACCAGCCUCACUUCCUUGACUGAGGCAGACCGAGAGAGAAACUAAAAAUUGACGCAGUGCAACAUUAGUUUGACCUUUUUACUGCUGAUCCUUUACAACAAAAUCUCUCCUGAUUUGUCUUCUCUUGAUGUCUCAUCUCUGAGAAAUUAAAUACAUCAUCUUCAGCCUUAGGCCAUCUUUCCAAUACUCAUCUCAUACUGAUCCUGUCAAUCUACCAGGUAUCUGGAACCCAAUUCUUUAGAGUCAUUGUUCACUUACAGAACCUAAUUUUUCCUUUGAGAACUUCUUUUUUACUUGACUUUCUUUCCAUUCCCAUUACCCUUAUUCUGGUCUAGGGUUUCAUUAAUUGAUGUCUUUAUUUCUCUGUAAUACUUCCAACCAGGUUUUCCUACUAUGUAUCUCCUACUAUGUAGACUCUAAAGUUCAGAGUCUAAGCUGAAACAUGGCAUACAAAAAAAAAAAAAUCAGCAUACAGGUCUUCUUUAAAUUUCUUUCUCUUCUAGCUCAGCGGUUUAGCACCUGCAUUUGGCCCAAGGGCAUGAUCCUGUGGUUCUGGGAUUGAGUC